rnacentral:rRNA from 1 species
UAGGGAAUCUUCCGCAAUGGACGCAAGUCUGACGGAGCAACGCCGCGUGAGUGAAGAAGGAUUUCGGUUCGUAAAACUCUGUUGUUAGAGAAGAACAGCGCAUAGAGUAACUGUUAUGCGUGUGACGGUAUCUAACCAGAAAGCCACGGCUAACUACGUGCCAGCAGCGCGGUAAUACGUAGGUGGCAAGCGUUGUCCGGAUUUAUUGGGCGUAAAGCGAGCGCAGGCGGUCAAUUAAGUCUGAUGUGAAAGCCCCCGGCUCAACCGGGGAGGGUCAUUGGAAACUGGUUGACUUGAGUGCAGAAGAGGAGAGUGGAAUUCCAUGUGUAGCGGUGAAAUGCGUAGAUAUAUGGAGGAACACCAGUGGCGAAGGCGACUCUCUGGUCUGUAACUGACGCUGAGGCUCGAAAGCGUGGGUAGCAAACAGG